rnacentral:piRNA from 1 species
UUUCUGAUUUGACGAGGGUGU